GACGAACGCUGGCGGCGUGCUUAACACAUGCAAGUCGAGCGGUAAGGCCCUUUCGGGGGUACACGAGCGGCGAACGGGUGAGUAACACGUGGGUGACCUGCCCUCAGCUCUGGGAUAAGCCUGGGAAACCGGGUCUAAUACUGGAUAUGACUCCAUGACGCAUGUUGUGGGGUGGAAAGCCUUGUGCGGCUGAGGAUGGGCCCGCGGCCUAUCAGCUUGUUGGUGGGGUGANGGCCUACCAAGGCGACGACGGGUAGCCGGCCUGAGAGGGCGACCGGCCACACUGGGACUGAGACACGGCCCAGACUCCUACGGGAGGCAGCAGUGGGGAAUAGUGGACAAUGGGCGAAAGCCUGAUCCAGCCAUGCCGCGUGAGUGAAGAAGGCCUUAGGGUUGUAAAGCUCUUUCAGCGGGGAANAUAGUGACGGUACCCGCAGAAGAAGUCCCGGCUAACUUCGUGCCAGCAGCCGCAGUAAC
rnacentral:rRNA from 1 species